rnacentral:lncRNA from 1 species
AUGUUCUUCUGUGCAUCAAUUUGUGCCCUUUUUAAGAGACCAAAUUACAACUGCUGUGAUUGCCAUACAAAAGGAAACUGCAGUCAAGAAUGUGGAUACCAGAUGAGAGGACAAACAGGUCCAGCUUCAUUAUCAGUGGCGCAAGACCUUACUUACAUAAAGGUCCUUUCAUAUUCCUCAUUAAAGGAUGCCAGCCUUUUACCUCAUCCACAACACUCUCUCCUAUGUCUGGUUUGAUUCUAAUUGGGAGUCUUUUUGAGCCAAGUAUUUUGUAUAGGGUUAUCAAUAUAUAGAACCAUAUGACAGUAUCAUGUUAACUCUCCAAAAUUUUAGAAAUCACAUUUUUAAUGAGGUUUCCCUUAUUUAGUGACACAGAGGGAACAUGAAAGACCAUCCUUCCAUUUCCUCUUUCCUUCAACACCAAAUAAAGAACUCCGUUUUGUGUUUGUCUCCACAAAUGUAGAUUUCUAAAUCCUUGGACGGCAGCUCAGUUGUGAAUCCCCUUAAGUUCAAAUGUAGAGUCACAUGUCAAGUACCUAUAGCAACAGCCCUCAUUUAUAUUCCUUCUGCCCUCAAUGGGGACAGUUCCAUGGUCCUAAAUUCUGGGUCAGUCAUGUUGCUGGUCCUAAUUAUGAAUUUCAAUAAAAUUUUCAUAAAAUGAGAUUUAAGUGCCACAGGUUCAUCAUCUACAUAUUGAAAUUCCAAUAUAUGCCACGAAUUGUGCAAGGCACCUGAAUUAGAAAAUGAAUAAUACUACAUAUUUCUGUUAAUGGUCAUUUUCAAGUUAAUUUUUAUGUAUGGAAAGAAGGAAUAACCAUUUUCAUUAAAAGACCAUCCUUUCCUCAAUGUCUAUGUGUCGAUAUAUUUAUAUAUUCUAUAGUCUAUCCUAUUGGUAGAAUUUUUGAUCCUGGAACUAAUCCCAUACUCUAUUAACUUCUCUAACUUUAUGAUGAAUUCUAAAAUCUAAUAACAUGUUCUUCUUAAAGACUAUUCUAGCUAUGCUACAUCCUUUGAAUUUCUUUGUAUACACUAAAAUUACAUCAAAAUGUAAAAAAGUGCUUAGAUAAAAAUUAGAAUAAUAAUAAUAAUAAUAACAAAUCUAUAGAUAAAGUACAUUCUCCAUUUAUUCAUUAAAUUCUCUAAGUAAUGUUUUAAAGCAUUCAAUAUAGAAUGUCUCACACAUACAUUAAAUUCACUCCUGGGCAGUCUAUGUUUUUUAUGCUACUGUAUACGGUUUCUUAAAUUUUCAUCUUUCUUAAGUCUGUAGAUUGAUGUAUUUCAUUAGAUUGGAAAUGAGGCUCAAGCACUAUUUUUCUGGCAAUUGCUGCUGUCCUGUUCUCUCUCUUCUCUUUCUGAGAUCUUAAUCAUUAGUAUUUUUGUCUCUCUUGGAUGCAUAAAACAUCUUUUACAAUAUAUUUUUCUUUUUCUUCUACCUUUUUUUUUUAAAUCUUACGCUUCAGUGUGUAUGUUUUCCAAUAGCCUGAUAAGAGUUCACUAAUUCUGUCUUCUGCUGUAUCUAGAUUUCAGGUAAUCUGCAUCCAAUGAAGUUUUAAUUUCCCAUACUGCAUUUUUCAGUUCUAAAAUGCCCAUUUGAUUUUUUACACAUAUUUAAAUUUUAAACAGUAUCAUCAUGUGUAAGACAAGUUAGGUCAAGUUUGCAUUGUUCCAAGCUCUACUCCUUUACCUAACUUUACUGAUCCUUUUGAGCGCUCAUCUUGUAUCUUAGUGUAGAUAUCUUAGGAUAGAUACAUAUCUUAGUAUAGGUACAACUAUACUAAGAGCUAAAACUCUAUCCUUUGGGUAUUUUUUCCCUUUGUUUAGAAGUAUAACACCAACCUUAGCCUUGUUGUGUCGAUUCACUAAGCUUCACUAUCUCUUUCUGGUGUCCUUUAAUCCAGCCCGCACCUUUGUAAAUAUCUCCUUUAUUAACUAUUCUCCUUAUAAUCAUUUUUCUGUGUGUUAUCUUUCUCUUGCAGGAAUGUUGUCUGAUUCAUAAUGCUAGUGGAAAAAAAGGAAAACUAUGAAAAUGUAGUAUAUUUAAAUACCGAAAGUAUUUUCGAAACAGUAUCUUACCAAGAAUGCAAUUUAGGAGAAGCAAUGAAAUAGUAUGAAAAAUUAAUUAUUUUGAAGUAUCUGCAUGGGCUGUUUCUCAGAUGAAAAGUAGAUGGAACAAGUUUAAUCAUCUUAAAAAAGCAUCACAUGUUUCUCAAAAGAUUUCCAUACAUUAGUCUAACAUAAUAGUGCAUAUACAAUUUGGUAGGAAUUAAAUAUUUAUAUGAGGAUACCAGAGGAAAUGCCUUAAAAACAAAGUGGAGUCCAUGCUAUUUCUGAUCAAGUCCUUAUACUGUAAAUUAUUAUCACUGAACUUUUAUCACUCUACUUGCAGCCAUGGUCAAGACACCAAAGACCAUUCAAGGGAAAAGAAGUUGCAAAAUAGCUAACUUAAGUACAAAACCCUGACUAUUUUCCCUAGUUUCUCUUUAUCUUCCCUCCAUUUCUUUUCUCAAAACAUUCUAUCCAUAUUCUAUGACCAAAUCCACCUGAAUUCUACCACUGAAUAUUAAUAUCAACAAGUUAGGGAAAAUGAACAUUUUUUUUUUUUAUCAUUCAGUUUAUGGGAACUCCAUCUUCCAGUUGUUUUGUCUCAAAACCUUAUGGCCAUCUUUGAUUCUUAUCUUGGCCUCCUAUCCUAUCCAUCAACAAAAUCCUAUCCUAUCCAUCCACAAAUCCUCUCCAUCAACAAAAACUCUUAGUUCUGACUUUGAAACAUAAAACCUGACUAAGCACCUCCUUCACUGCUCCACCCUACUGUGAACUAUCUUCUUCUCUCACUUAAAUUAUUACAGUAGUCUAAUUGGUAUUAUUAAUUCUAUCUGGCCUCUAUCAAAGUCUCUUCCUAACACAGUGGCCAGAUAAUCCUUUCACAAGUAAAGCAUACUAUGUCACACUUACUCUCAAAACUCUACAAUGGUUCCUCUGUUCACUCAAAGUAAACCCCACAGUCUAUAAUUGCCUAAAAGGCUCUGUACAAUCGUGUUCCCAUUACUUCUUUAAAAUUAUUGUUUACUAAUUUCCAACAGUUUCCCUCUCUUCUCGUCAAACUGGCCUCCAUGCUUCUCCUCAAAUGCAGCAGGCAUGAUGCCACCUCAACACGAACUGUUCUCACUGUCCCAUAUGAUCAACUACCCACAAGCCAUAAGACAAAUUUGAUGUAUUUGCUCAAAUGUCAGCUUUUCAAUGAGGCCUGUCCAGACCUCCAAUUUAAUAUUGGCUAGAUGUCUCUCAUCCCAUUAUUUCCUAUUCCCUCUCUUUUCUAACUUUUUGUUCCACCAGGGUCAUUGCCUUGUAAUUUUCUAUAUCAGUUAUGCACUGUAUUCAUUAUUUCCUGUGACUUAACUGCAAUGACUGGCACUAAUCAAAUGUUCAAUAAAUAUCUGUUCAAUAAACUGAUGAAUUAAUACAUUCAACCCAUGUGUACUGAGUGCCUUCGGAAUUUUUUUCUUAAAGAUUUUUAUUUAUUUGAUGCACACAGAGAGAGCACAAGCAGGGGGAGCAACAGGCAGAGGGAAAGGGAGAAGCAGGCUCCCCUGCAGAGCAGGGAGCCUGAUGCAGGGUUCAAUCCCAAAACCCUGGGAUCAUGACCCAAGCCAAAGGUAGUUGCUUAACCAACUGAGCUACCCAGGUGCCCCAGAAUGUUUUUUCAAUAAACAUUUAUUCUGUAGAUUAACUACAAAGUCUAAGUGAUAUGGAAAUCAUAAUAUAUGACUUUAUCACACACAAAAAUAAUUUUUAAUUUCGAGUAAAUCCUCUUCAAAUGUUUCUGUACAUAUAUUUCAAAUAUUUAAAAAAUAAAUAAAUAAAAGAUUUCCUUGUCAUAGGUCCCUCUCGUCUCUGUUCUGCACUCCCAUAUUAG